rnacentral:lncRNA from 1 species
UAGUACUGACUGAGCAAUCGAUUAAGUGAUUAUUUGUUACAAUUCAGAGACACACAUUACAUGUACAGAGCAGCAUAACUUACAUGUACAACUCUAUAUGCCAUUUUGCAUAGCGCUCAUGUAACUGUAGAAAAAGCAUGCAUUCUUUUGGACCGCAGACAGGCAACCAUGCUCCUUGUGUAUGCUAUAUGCGACGAAUGGCAAGAUUGCAGGUGGACAUCUGUUGGUUAGAACAACCGCCAUUGUGGGGUUGCUGCAAACUGAGGACUCCGAUGAAUUGCCCAACAUGGAGAACCUACGCCUGCCAAAAGGGUAUCCUUCAUGGUCCAUGAACACACGGCUAGCAUUUUUAGAAUGGGGAAUCAAAUAUAGUUAUCUUCAGUGCACAACAUUGAAGAUGGUUGGCAAUACAUUUUUUAUUGAUUCAGCUAUGCAGGCCUUAAUAAUUAGACAAAUGAUGUUGCAGGGAAAGAGUGGUCAUGGUAGUAUAGUACUACCAGAUAAUCGAUCGAUUUCCUGAUAGCAGGCACUACUGCAUGGGAGCUGAACAACCAUAUCUAAUAGUUACAUGAUAUGUAUGGUAACUAAACUAAUUUAAGAGUAAAGAAUUACGCUUACAGUCAUACUGGAAACAUAUAUAUUAGAUCAUGAGAAACCGAUACUCUGAUGCUACCAUAUUUCUAAAUGUGUUGAUAGAUGACUAAAUAGCGUGUCUAAAUAUAUAAUGGUAGAACAAAUCGGCUAUGUCAAUAUAAAUAUCAUAGCUAAUUCCACAAUUCCUUUUUGCUAUCCAUUCAACUGCAAGAAAAUAAGAUUUGAACCUAGGAGGGUAUUAUAUGAAGUCAUGAAAUGUAUGAAAUCAACACUGGGAACAUAGAAAGCAAAGAAAUUUGAAACCAAACUCCGUGAUGCAGAUGCUUCAAAUUUUACCCAUAGAGCUACAAGGUGUGAUGAGUUCAGGACACUGGUCCC